rnacentral:rRNA from 1 species
GAUGACUGCAGAGAUGUGGUUUCCCUUGUGGCCUGUGUGCAGGUGGUGCAUGGCUGUCGUCAGCUCGUGUCGUGAGAUGUUGGGUUAAGUCCCGCAACGAGCGCAACCCUUAUCUUAUGUUGCCAGCGCGUAAUGGCGGGGACUCCUGAGAGACUGCCGGGGUCAACUCGGAGGAAGGUGGGGAUGACGUCAAGUCAUCAUGCCCCUUAUGUCCAGGGCUUCACACAUGCUACAAUGGCCGGUACAAAGGGCUGCGAUGCCGUGAGGUGGAGCGAAUCCUUGAAAGCCGGUCUCAGUUCGGAUCGGGGUCUGCAACUCGACCCCGUGAAGUCGGAGUCGCUAGUAAUCGCAGAUCAGCAACGCUGCGGUGAAUACGUUCCCGGGCCUG